GACGAACGCUGGCGGCGUGCCUAAUACAUGCAAGUCGAGCGGAAUGAUGAAGAAGCUUGCUUCUUCUGAUUUUAGCGGCGGACGGGUGAGUAACACGUGGGCAACCUACCUUGUAGAUUGGGAUAACUCCGGGAAACCGGGGCUAAUACCGAAUAAUCCAUUUUGCUUCAUGGCGAGAUGUUGAAAGACGGUUUCGGCUGUCACUAUAAGAUGGGCCCGCGGCGCAUUAGCUAGUUGGUAGGGUAAUGGCCUACCAAGGCGACGAUGCGUAGCCGACCUGAGAGGGUGAUCGGCCACACUGGGACUGAGACACGGCCCAGACUCCCACGGGAGGCAGCAGUAGGGAAUCUUCCACAAUGGACGAAAGUCUGAUGGAGCAACGCCGCGUGAGUGAAGAAGGUUUUCGGAUCGUAAAACUCUGUUGUAAGGGAAGAACACGUACGAGAGUAACUGCUCGUACCUUGACGGUACCUUAUUAGAAAGCCACGGCUAACUACGUG
rnacentral:rRNA from 1 species